GUUGCGUUCCUCUUCUUGCUAGCCAUCAACUCAGGAGUCCAUCCACAGAAUUCAAGAAGAAUCAAAGCCUUAUCCGUAGAUUCCAGGAACAUUUUCAGUUCCUCCUGAGUCUUCAGAACCUUGAGGGGAAUUUCAUCAGGCGAAACAGACAUGUAAGGAAGAAUAGAAGAGAGUAUAUUUCCAGCAAUAAGUUUGCCUUGAUACUUGUA
rnacentral:misc_RNA from 1 species